UACGGGGGGGGCAAGCGUUGUUCGGAAUUACUGGGCGUAAAGGGCUAGUAGGUUGCCAACUAAGUCAGACGUGAAAUCCCUCGGCUUAACCGGGGAACUGCGUCUGAUACUGGAUGGCUUGAGUUCGGGAGAGGGAUGCGGAAUUCCAGGUGUAGCGGUGAAAUGCGUAGAUAUCUGGAGGAACACCGGUGGCGAAGGCGGCAUCCUGGACCGACACUGACACUGAGGAGCGAAAGCCAGGGGAGCAAACGGG
rnacentral:rRNA from 1 species